rnacentral:rRNA from 1 species
GAUGAACGCUGGCGGCGUGCCUAAUACAUGCAAGUCGAGCGAACGGACGAGAAGCUUGCUUCUCUGAUGUUAGCGGCGGACGGGUGAGUAACACGUGGAUAACCUACCUAUAAGACUGGGAUAACUUCGGGAAACCGGAGCUAAUACCGGAUAAUAUUUUGAACCGCAUGGUUCGAAAGUGAAAGACGGUCUUGCUGUCACUUAUAGAUGGAUCCGCGCUGCAUUAGCUAGUUGGUAAGGUAACGGCUUACCAAGGCAACGAUGCAUAGCCGACCUGAGAGGGUGAUCGGCCACCCUGGAACUUAGACACGGUCCAGACUCCUACGGGAGGCAGCAGUAGGGAAUCGUCCGCAAUGGGCGAAAGCCUGACGGAGCAACGGCGCGUGAGUGAUGGAGGUCUUCGGAUCGUAAAACUCUGUUAUUAGGGAAGAACAUAUGUGUAAGUAACUGUGCACAUCUUGACGGUACCUAAUCAGAAAGCCACGGCUAACUACGUG